rnacentral:rRNA from 1 species
CUCAUUAAAUCAGUUAUAGUUUAUUUGAUGGUCUCUUUGUUCUUCUUUUUACCUACUUGGAUAACCGUGGUAAUUCUAGAGCUAAUACAUGCGCAAGGUCCCAAGCGCGGAGAGUAAGGCUUCGCGGCUCUAUUCUUGCAUGCGUAGCGGGAUGUGUUUAUCAGGUUAAAAACCAGCACAUUUAAAUUCCAUACUGGUGAUUCAUAGUAACUCUUUCGGAUCGCAUUCAUG